rnacentral:tRNA from 1 species
AGUUAAUGAUCUUGAAUAAGAAUAUAUUUUGAAAAUAUACUAAAGAAAUUAAAAUUUUCUAUUAACUU